ensembl:snRNA U6 U6 spliceosomal RNA
CUGCUUACUUGGCAGCAGGUAUGAUAAAAUUGGCAUUAUACAGAGAAGGUCAGCAUUGGCACAACAAAAGGGCAGCAUGUGAAUCUGCAUAAAAGCCAUAGUUUUAU